GUUGAGGUCUAUCCCAGUGGAGCUUUUUUCCUGCAGUCAUACAUUAUUGCAAAGGCCUAGGAGAGUAAUCUGUCGUUUUGCUUUACUCACAAAACCAUUUGUUAGGUCUAUGGGAAGGAAGUAUAAGACAGUU
rnacentral:snoRNA from 1 species